UAGGUUUUAUUCUUGGAGGUUCUUUAAUAACAAAAGUGAUGUAAAUAUGGCCUGUGAGCACCAAAUUUUGGUAUUAAUAUUAUAACUUUUUUCUUUAUAAUACCAUUGCUUUUUUUAUUUUUAUUUAGAGUACCGAUUAUUAUUUUUAUCUAUAUUUACUGACAUGUUAUUGAAAAUAAAAUAUUUUUAAUUAAUUUGCCACAAGUAAUAUUAAUUCAUUAUUAUCCUACUAAGUACCUAGGACUUGCUUAUAAAUUUUUAAA
rnacentral:lncRNA from 1 species